AUUGAACGCUGGCGGCAGGCUUAACACAUACAAGUCGAGCGGAGAUGAGGUGCUUGCACCUUAUCUUAGCGGCGGACGGGUGAGUAAUGCUUAGGAAUCUGCCUAUUAGUGGGGGACAACAUUCCGAAAGGAAUGCUAAUACCGCAUACGUCCUACGGGAGAAAGCAGGGGAUCUUCGGACCUUGUGCUAAUAGAUGAGCCUAAGUCGGAUUAGCUAGUUGGUGGGGCAAAGGCCUACCAAGGCGACGAUCUGUAGCGGGUCUGAGAGGAUGAUCCGCCACACUGGGACUGAGACACGGCCCAGACUCCUACGGGAGGCAGCAGUGGGGAAUAUUGGACAAUGGGGGAAACCCCGAUCCAGCCAUGCCGCGUGUGUGAAGAAGGCCUUAUGGUUGUAAAGCACUUUAAGCGAGGAGGAGGCUACUGAGACUAAUACUCUUGGAUAGUGGACGUUACUCGCAGAAUAAGCACCGGCUAACUCUGUGCCAGCAGCCGCAGUAA
rnacentral:rRNA from 1 species